GCCUGGUGUGGUGGAGCACACCUGUAAUCUCAGCAGCUCAGAGGCUGAGACAGGAGGAUAGAGAGUUCAAAGCCAGCCUCAGCAAAAAUGAGGUGCUAAGCAACUCAGUGAGACCCUGUCUCUA
rnacentral:sRNA from 1 species